UACGGAGGGUGCGAGCAUUAAUCGGAUUUAUUGGGCGUAAAGGGCGCGUAGGCGGAUAGAUAAGUCAGACGUGAAAUCCCGGGGCUCAACCCCGGAACAGCAUUUGAAACUAUCUAUCUAGAGGGUAGGCGGAGAAAAUGGAAUUCCACAAGUAGCGGUGAAAUGCGUAGAUAUGUGGAAGAACACCGGUGGCGAAAGCGGUUUUCUAGCUUACUCCUGACGCUGAGGCGCGAAAGCAAGGGGAGCAAACAGG
rnacentral:rRNA from 1 species